rnacentral:rRNA from 1 species
GAUCAUGGCUCAGGAUGAACGCUAGCUACAGGCUUAACACAUGCAAGUCGAGGGGAAACGACAUCGAAAGCUUGCUUUUGAUGGGCGUCGACCGGCGCACGGGUGAGUAACGCGUAUCCAACCUGCCCACCACCGGGGUAUAGCCCAUGGAAACGUGGAUUAACACCCCAUAGUACUUUUAUCCUGCAUGGGAUGUGAGUUAAAUGUUCAAGGUAUCGGAUGGGCAUGCGUCCUAUUAGUUAG